UACGUAGGGCGCAAGCGUUGUCCGGAAUUAUUGGGCGUAAAGAGCUCGUAGGCGGUCUGUUACGUCCGCUGUGAAAACCCAGGGCUUAACCCUGGGCUUGCAGUGGAUACGGGUAGACUAGAGGCAGGUAGGGGAGAAUGGAAUUCCCGGUGUAGCGGUGAAAUGCGCAGAUAUCGGGAGGAACACCGGUGGCGAAGGCGGUUGCCUGGAGCUUUGCUGACGCUGAUGCGCGAAAGCGUGGGGAGCGAUCCGG
rnacentral:rRNA from 1 species